rnacentral:lncRNA from 1 species
UACGAUUGGAAGUUCUUCCGAAGUGUCGGAAGCUAUGGGUAGGUACCUGCCCCCCCGGGUGUCACAAAACAGAAAAAUUUCGUAUAAUAUUUCUUUGUAGUUUUGCGACCCCCUUGAGCAGUACUACUAGUCCCCAAAGUUUGGGAUUAGCAAAAAAUAUCGUAAAUUUUUUGCAGUUUUUCAGCAGAAAAUCGUGCCGCCGGAGGUCGUUUUCGGGAUGCCUG